UACGUAGGUGACGAGCGUUAUCCGGAAUUACUGGGCGUAAAGCGCACGCAAGCGGUUGGACAAGUCUGGCGUGAAAUCUCCUGGCUUAACUAGGAGCGGUCGCUGGAAACUGUUCGGCUUGAGGCGAUAAGAGGGGUGCAGAAUUCCCGGUGUAGUGGUGGAAUGCGUAGAGAUCGGGAGGAAUACCAGUGGCGAAAGCGGCACCCUGGCGUGGUACUGACGCACAUGUGCGAAAGCGUGGGGAGCGAACGGG
rnacentral:rRNA from 1 species